rnacentral:lncRNA from 1 species
GGAGUUUCAUAGGUAUUUAAUCCCAUGCCACAUCAGCAAAACUGCUAACUUGGCAAGUUAUUUAUGAGGAGAGAGGAGAGGGGAGUUUCAUCCCCAUGAAACCCACUCGGCACAGUUAUCUAGUCCCAUGAAAUUCAAUGAAACUUGCACUGAACAUGUUAUGGUUUCAUGGCAUGACACAUCUAAUCAUAGGACAACACAAAAAUUAAAUGAUUUAGGCUAUCUAUGCAACUGUGUAAUGAAACUAUGCACUGAAAGUGACGGUUUCAUUUCAUUGAAAAGCUGACAUAGUACUAUUGGUAAUAGUGCGAUGAAAUCAUGCACUGAGAAUGCCUAAUGAACACCCUUAAAACCAAACUAACCAGAGUGUAUUAACGAAGGACGGCCCCUCCUCUAAAAUCCUAGCUUCACCCCUUAAGUACGGAGUUCAAUAACAACAUGAGCUAGUUUUGUAUAUGUACUUUUAUGGUGCUAUGGGUAUCUUAUUGAUAGAUUUAGUAUGACCAUCAUCAUCAGCAAUCUCAGGGCUUGUGGUCGGAGCGCGAACACCCUAUGGUGGUGAGGAUGAGUGGCAUUAAAUGAUAUUGUUGUGCCUCGCCACGAUACCGUCCAGCCUACCAUCACAUCCCAUCAAGGCAGGUAGUGUGGCUUCCUCAUGUAGCCAACAAGAUAGAACCUUAACGCCCCCCUCCCAAAAAAAAACAAUUUUCCAACACAAUGGCGACUAUGAGAUCA